GUUAGGAAUAUUGGACAAUGGGCGCAAGCCUGAUCCAGCCAUGCCGCGUGAGUGAUGAAGGCCUUCGGGUUGUAAAGCUCUUUAGUCCACGAAUAUAAUGACUGUAGUGGAAGAAUAAGCCCCGGCUAACUUCGUGCCAGCAGCCGCGGUAAUACGAAGGGGGCGAGCGUUAUUCGGAAUCACUGGGCGUAAAGCGUGCGUAGGCUGUUUUGUAAGUCAGAAGUGAAAGCCCAUAGCUUCACCCUGGAAUUGCUUUUGAAACAUCAAAACUCGAAUUCGGGAGAGGAUAGCGGAAUUGUCCGUGUAGCAGUGAAAUGCGUAGAUAUUGACAUGAACACCAGUGGCGCAAGCGGCUAUCUGGACCGAUAUUGACGCUGAGGCACGAAAGCGUGGGGAGCAAACAGGAUUAGAAACCCUAGUAGUCC
rnacentral:rRNA from 1 species